AGCCAUGUACUCCGAGACAAUAAAAUUCAGGUUUUUUUACAAUUUCAUGCAAAUGGGAGUAAUUCGAGAAGUAGCCAUCUGAGACUAUGCUAAUUCUGAGUAAAAGAAAAAGUUAGAGUCAAUUCACAGAAGCUAAGGAAGCAGCAGAAAAUGAGCGGGAAAGUUGAUUAUAACUGAUUUUCGGAUUAGUUAGAUAAAGGGUAGUUACUAGUUGAGGGUAGCCGAGUCUAUUCCUUAUCAUGUACAGUUGGAUUAUAGCUAUCAAUUAGAAGCAUAUAUACUCCCAUUCAGAUCACAUUUUGUAGAUUGAGAAUUAGAAACUUUCAUCUCAAUGAAGGCAGAUUUCAUUUCUUCUCUCUAAAGCUUCUACAACUGUGUGUUAAUGGAUGUUGCUAGUUUUCACAUGGUAUCAGAUUCUCAAGGACAAGACCAUUUCUUCAUUGACGAUCAGUACAAAAAAUUGCUGAAUUUUCUGAGCAAAUCUGGUGCAAGCGAAUAAGGUGACUAUCACUCUAACAUGGCAGGGGCUUUUCAAUGGGAUUGGUAGAGAAAGAGAGAUAGACUAUAUAUUUUAAAGAGAUCACAGCCCAUAGCAGGAAUAAUAGUUGGUGUUGAUAAUAAAAUGGCAAUGUUGUGGCACAAAAGACUGGGACAUCCAUCAUCAAAUGUAAUGAGGCACAUUAUAAGGUUCAAAGAUGUAGUAGGAAAUGCUUUGCAGCAUUGUUGUGAAAUAUGCCCCCUAGCAAAGCAGCAUGGAAUAAAAUUUCCUAUUAGUACUAUAUACUAGAACAACUAUUGUUUUUGAAUUACUGCACUUAGAUGUUUGGGGUCCUUACAAGGUACCCACCUAUGACAAUGGACAUUAUUUUGUUACUGUUGUUGAUGAUUUUAGCAGAUACACUUGGGCUUGUUUGAUACAAUCCAAGGCAGAUGUGAUAGUUGUAUUGACAAGUUUUUUGUGGAUGAUAAAGACUCAGUUUGAUGCUA